rnacentral:rRNA from 1 species
UUUUAUGAGAGUUUGAUCCUGGCUCAGGACGAAUGCUGGCGGCGUGCCUAAUACAUGCAAGUCGAACGCUUCUUUUUCCACCGGAGCUUGCUCCACCGGAAAAAGAGGAGUGGCGAACGGGUGAGUAACACGUGGGUAACCUGCCCAUCAGAAGGGGAUAACACUUGGAAACAGGUGCUAAUACCGUAUAACAAUCGAAACCGCAUGGUUUUGAUUUGAAAGGCGCUUUCGGGUGUCGCUGAUGGAUGGACCCGCGGUGCAUUAGCUAGUUGGUGAGGUAACGGCUCACCAAGGCGACGAUGCAUAGCCGACCUGAGAGGGUGAUCGGCCACAUUGGGACUGAGACACGGCCCAAACUCCUACGGGAGGCAGCAGUAGGGAAUCUUCGGCAAUGGACGAAAGUCUGACCGAGCAACGCCGCGUGAGUGAAGAAGGUUUUCGGAUCGUAAAACUCUGUUGUUAGAGAAGAACAAGGAUGAGAGUAACUGUUCAUCCCUUGACGGUAUCUAACCAGAAAGCCACGGCUAACUACGUGCCAGCAGCCGCGGUAAUACGUAGGUGGCAAGCGUUGUCCGGAUUUAUUGGGCGUAAAGCGAGCGCAGGCGGUUUCUUAAGUCUGAUGUGAAAGCCCCCGGCUCAACCGGGGAGGGUCAUUGGAAACUGGGAGACUUGAGUGCAGAAGAGGAGAGUGGAAUUCCAUGUGUAGCGGUGAAAUGCGUAGAUAUAUGGAGGAACACCAGUGGCGAAGGCGGCUCUCUGGUCUGUAACUGACGCUGAGGCUCGAAAGCGUGGGGAGCAAACAGGAUUAGAUACCCUGGUAGUCCACGCCGUAAACGAUGAGUGCUAAGUGUUGGAGGGUUUCCGCCCUUCAGUGCUGCAGCUAACGCAUUAAGCACUCCGCCUGGGGAGUACGACCGCAAGGUUGAAACUCAAAGGAAUUGACGGGGGCCCGCACAAGCGGUGGAGCAUGUGGUUUAAUUCGAAGCAACGCGAAGAACCUUACCAGGUCUUGACAUCCUUUGACCACUCUAGAGAUAGAGCUUCCCCUUCGGGGGCAAAGUGACAGGUGGUGCAUGGUUGUCGUCAGCUCGUGUCGUGAGAUGUUGGGUUAAGUCCCGCAACGAGCGCAACCCUUAUUGUUAGUUGCCAUCAUUUAGUUGGGCACUCUAGCAAGACUGCCGGUGACAAACCGGAGGAAGGUGGGGAUGACGUCAAAUCAUCAUGCCCCUUAUGACCUGGGCUACACACGUGCUACAAUGGGAAGUACAACGAGUCGCAAAGUCGCGAGGCUAAGCUAAUCUCUUAAAGCUUCUCUCAGUUCGGAUUGUAGGCUGCAACUCGCCUACAUGAAGCCGGAAUCGCUAGUAAUCGCGGAUCAGCACGCCGCGGUGAAUACGUUCCCGGGCCUUGUACACACCGCCCGUCACACCACGAGAGUUUGUAACACCCGAAGUCGGUGAGGUAACCUUUUGGAGCCAGCCGCCUAAGGUGGGAUAGAUGAUUGGGGUGAAGUCGUAACAAGGUAGCCGUAUCGGAAGGUGCGGCUGGAUCACCUCCUUU